rnacentral:rRNA from 1 species
UACGGAGGGAGCUAGCGUUGUUCGGAAUUACUGGGCGUAAAGCGCACGUAGGCGGCUUUGUAAGUUAGAGGUGAAAGCCCGGGGCUCAACCCCGGAAUUGCCUUUAAGACUGCAUCGCUUGAAUCCAGGAGAGGUGAGUGGAAUUCCGAGUGUAGAGGUGAAAUUCGUAGAUAUUCGGAAGAACACCAGUGGCGAAGGCGGCUCACUGGACUGGUAUUGACGCUGAGGUGCGAAAGCGUGGGGAGCAAACAGGAUUAGAUACCCCCGUAGUCC